rnacentral:rRNA from 1 species
GUCCUGGAGGCAGCAGUGGGGAAUUUUGCGCAAUGGGGGAAACCCUGACGCAGCAACGCCGCGUGCGGGACGAAGGCCCUCGGGCUGUAAACCGCUUUCAGCAGGGAAGACGUCGACGGUACCUGCAGAAGAAGCUCCGGCUAACUACGUGCCAGCAGCCGCGGUAAUACGUAGGGGGCGAGCGUUAUCCGGAUUCAUUGGGCGUAAAGCGCGCGUAGGCGGCCGCCUAAGCGGAACCUCUAACCCCGGGGCUCAACCUCGGGCCGGGGUCCGGACUGGGCGGCUCGAGGGCGGUAGUGGAGAGG